rnacentral:rRNA from 1 species
GAUGAACGCUGGCGGCGUGCCUAAUACAUGCAAGUCGAACGAAAGGACGCGGCGUUUGCUUCUUUGUUGUUAGCGGCAGGCGGGUGUGUCACGUGUGUAUCACCUACCUGUCUUACUGGGAUCAUUUCGAGACACCGGCUAUAACCCCGGAUGAUAUUUUGAUCCGCGUGGUUCGUUAGUGAAAGUCGGUCUUUCUGUCUCUUCUCGCUGCUUCCGCGCUGCAUUGGCUAGUUGGUAAGGUAACGGCUUACCAAGGCAACGAUGCAUAGCCGACCUGAGUGGGGGAUCGGCCACACGGGAGCGGAGACACGGACCAGACGCCUACGGGAGGCAGCAGUAGGGUAUCGUCGGCAAUGGGCGAAAGCCUUACGGAGUAACGCCGCGUGAGUGAUGAAGGUCCUCGGUUCGUAAAACUCUGUUACGAGGGAAGAACAGAUGUGUAAGGAACUGUGGACAUCGUGACGGUACCUAAUCAGAAAGCCACGGCUAACUACGUG